GAUGAACGCUGGCGGCGUGCCUAAUACAUGCAAGUCGAGCGAACAGACGAGGAGCUUGCUCCUCUGACGUUAGCGGCGGACGGGUGAGUAACACGUGGAUAACCUACCUAUAAGACUGGGAUAACUUCGGGAAACCGGAGCUAAUACCGGAUAACAUGUUGAACCGCAUGGUUCAACAGUGAAAGACGGUCUUGCUGUCGCUUAUAGAUGGAUCCGCGCCGCAUUAGCUAGUUGGUAAGGUAACGGCUUACCAAGGCAACGAUGCGUAGCCGACCUGAGAGGGUGAUCGGCCACACUGGAACUGAGACACGGUCCAGACUCCUACGGGAGGCAGCAGUAGGGAAUCUUCCGCAAUGGGCGAAAGCCUGACGGAGCAACGCCGCGUGAGUGAAGAAGGUCUUCGGGUCGUAAAACUCUGUUAUUAGGGAAGAACAAAUGUGUAAGUAACUAUGCACGUCUUGACGGUACCUAAUCAGAAAGCCACGGCUAACUACGUG
rnacentral:rRNA from 1 species